AAUCAACGCUGGCGGCGUGCCUCAGACAUGCAAGUCGUACGAUUAAACUUUCCUUCGGGAAAGAUAUAGAGUGGCGCACGGGUGAGUAACACGUAAGUAAUCUACCUUUGGGUGGGAAGUAACAACCGGAAACGGUUGCUAAUACCGCAUAAUGCAGCGGCUCGACAUCGAGACAGUUGUUAAAGACAUUUAUUGCGCCUGAAGAGGAGCUUGCGGCAGAUUAG
rnacentral:rRNA from 1 species